CGUACCAAGAAAGCCUUCAUCCUGGCCGAACCACUGAACGAAACUGGUCCUCCUGCCCUCAAUCGGCCACUCCCCUCCUGCUAACAUUUCUCCUCCUGAUUUCAGAAACCCCCUCUUUUCUCUCUCACGGACUUGGACCUCCCAGGAUCCGUGUCCUUGUCCCGCUGGAAGACCAGGAACACGGCUGGUGACUGACGAAACAGAUGUGACAGCAGCUCUAAGAAGACAGGCCUGGAGGGGGACUACUUCAGGAUUCAGGAGUGGAGGCUAAGGAGGCACAUUUGCAAAAGGGAUCAGAAGUGAAGGUUACCACAGCUGGCUGUGGAGUGCAUGAAGAACCUGCUGUGUACCGCCUCAUGUGCUAUCUGUGGAGGACAGAGGGCAUGGAUAAACGCAUUACAGUUUGCCACAUGUGCAUCCAACCCUGGGCUUAGUUAAUAAAAGUGGAGGGCAGCAAAUCCA